GUGCGUAGAUGCUGAGAAGUAAAGCGCUAGGCUUCCAAACCUAGAGAUCUGGGUUCGAAUCCUGGUAAAGACU
rnacentral:tRNA from 1 species